rnacentral:rRNA from 1 species
UACGUAGGGUGCAAGCGUUGUCCGGAAUUAUUGGGCGUAAAGAGCUCGUAGGCGGUUUGUCGCGUCGAAUGUGAAAACCCGGGGCUCAACCCCGGGCCUGCAUUCGAUACGGGCAGACUAGAGUUCGGUAGGGGAGUCUGGAAUUCCUGGUGUAGCGGUGAAAUGCGCAGAUAUCAGGAGGAACACCGGUGGCGAAGGCGGGUCUCUGGGCCGAUACUGACGUGAGGAGCGAAAGCGUGGGGAGCGAACAGG